UACAGAGGGGGCAAGCGUUGUUCGGAAUUACUGGGCGUAAAGGGCGCGUAGGCGGCCCGCUAAGUCGAACGUGAAAGCCCCGGGCUCAACCUGGGAACCGCGCUUGAGACUGGAGAACUAGAGUUCGGGAGAGGAUGGUGGAAUUCCCAGUGUAGAGGUGAAAUUCGUAGAUAUUGGGAAGAACACCGAUGGCGAAGGCAGCCAUCUGGACCGACACUGACGCUGAGGCGCGAAAGCGUGGGGAGCAAACAGG
rnacentral:rRNA from 1 species